UACGUAGGGUGCAAGCGUUGCCCGGAUUUAUUGGGCGUAAAGGGCGCGUAGGCGGCUCGGCACGUCCGUUGUGAAAACCCGGGGCUCAACCCCGGGCCUGCAGUCGAUACGGGCGAGCUAGAGUUCGGCAGGGGAGACUGGAAUUCCUGGUGUAGCGGUGAAAUGCGCAGAUAUCAGGAGGAACACCGGUGGCGAAGGCGGGUCUCUGGGCCGAUACUGACGCUGAGGAGCGAAAGCGUGGGGAGCGAACAGG
rnacentral:rRNA from 1 species